rnacentral:sRNA from 1 species
UCAUUCCCAGCCUAGGAUCCCGCAGCAUA